rnacentral:rRNA from 1 species
AUGGAGUACGAGAAUGGCGAGGUUGCUGCCAACGGCAACAGCGUGUGCAUGGCAAUCCAGCAUGCCGACCCGCUUAACUGGGGGAAGGCCGCCGAGGAGCUGACGGGUAGCCACUUGGACGAAGUGAAGAGGAUGGUGGCAGACUACCGCAAGCCCGUGGUGACCAUCGAGGGCGCAAGCCUGAGCAUCGCCAAGGUCGCGGCCGUGGCAGCUGCCGGCGAGGUGGUGGUGGAGCUCGACGAGUCUGCCCGUGCGCGCGUGAAGGCCAGCAGCGACUGGGUCAUGAACAGCAUGAUGAACGGCACCGACAGCUACGGCGUCACCACCGGUUUCGGUGCAACGUCCCACCGGAGGACCAAGCAGGGCGGCGCUCUCCAAAGAGAGCUCAUCAGGUUCCUCAACGCUGGUGCGUUCGGCACCGGCUCCGACGCUCAUGUUCUGCCGGCUGCGACCACGCGUGCAGCCAUGCUCGUUCGCAUCAACACCCUCCUUCAAGGGUACUCUGGGAUCCGGUUCGAGAUCCUCGAGGCGGUUGCCAAGUUGCUCAAUGCCAAUGUCAUGCCGUGCCUGCCCCUUCGGGGCACCAUCACCGCGUCCGGUGACCUGGUUCCGCUCUCCUACAUCGCUGGACUGAUCACCGGCCGCGAGAACUCCGUGGCGAUUGGACCAGAUGGCACGAAGGUGAACGCCGCUGAGGCGUUCAAGAUAGCAGGCAUCCAUGGCGGCUUCUUCGAGCUACAACCAAAGGAAGGUCUCGCCAUGGUGAAUGGCACAGCUGUGGGCUCUGCUCUGGCGUCCACCGUGCUCUUUGAGGCAAAUAUUCUUGCUCUCCUCGCGGAGGUCAUUUCUGCCGUGUUCUGUGAGGUCAUGAACGGCAAACCGGAAUUCACCGAUCACCAUACCCACAAGCUGAAGCACCAUCCAGGACAAAUAGAGGCAGCUGCUAUCAUGGAGCAUAUCUUGGAGGGAAGUUCCUACAUGAAGCUUGCAAAGAAGCUUGGCGAUCUCGACCCACUGAUGAAGCCAAAGCAAGACCGGUACGCGCUCCGGACAUCCCCGCAGUGGCUUGGACCACAAAUCGAAGUUAUCCGUGCUGCCACCAAGUCAAUUGAGCGUGAGAUCAAUUCCGUCAACGACAACCCACUCAUUGAUGUCUCCCGUGGCAAGGCGAUACACGGUGGAAACUUCCAGGGGACACCUAUUGGCGUGUCCAUGGACAAUACCCGCCUCGCAAUAGCGGCAAUUGGCAAGCUCAUGUUCGCUCAGUUCUCCGAGCUUGUCAACGACCUUUACAAUAAUGGUCUACCAUCAAACCUAUCCGGUGGGCACAACCCAAGCUUGGACUACGGGUUCAAGGGUGCCGAGAUCGCCAUGGCCUCUUACUGCUCGGAGCUGCAAUUCUUGGGAAACCCGGUGACCAAUCACGUCCAGAGCGCUGAGCAGCACAACCAGGACGUCAACUCUCUUGGUCUUAUCUCCUUCAGGAAGACUGCAGAGGCCAUUGAAAUCCUCAAGCUCAUGUCCUCGACUUUCUUGGUUGCCCUCUGCCAGGCUAUUGACCUGCGCCACAUUGAGGAGAAUGUCAAGAGCGCCGUCAAAAGUUGUGUGUUGACGGUGGCAAAGAAGACACUAAGCACCAAUUCCACCAGCGGCCUUCACGUAGCGCGCUUUUGCGAAAAAGACCUGCUACAGGAGAUUGAGCGAGAGGCAGUGUUUGCCUACGCCGACGACCCUUGCAGCCCUAACUAUCCACUGAUGAAGAAGCUACGUGGUGUGCUUGUGGAGCGCGCCCUCUCCAAUGGCAUGGCCGAGUUUGAUGCGGAGACCUCCGUGUUCGCAAAGGUUGCCUUAUUUGAGGAGGAGCUACGCAAGACGCUGCCCCCGGCGAUUGAGGCUGCACGUGCUGCCGUAGAGAGCGGCACGGCUGAAAUGCCCAACAGAAUCACUGAGUGCUGCUCAUACCCCCUCUACCGGUUUGUGCGUGAGGAGCUCGGAACUGUAUACCUAACCGGCGAGAAGACACUAUCACCCGGCGAGGAGCUUAACAAGGUGUUCGUGGCCAUGAACCAAGGCAAGCACAUCGAUGCACUGCUUGAGUGCCUCAAGGAGUGGAACGGCGAACCCCUGCCCAUCUGCUAA